UGCAGUUAGGGAAUAUACAUUUAGUGCAAAAGAUAUAUAAAUAAUGGAUGUUGGUUUAAGUAAGAACAGGUAGUAGCCAAGGAAACAUGCAGGUUUUUUGAUGAUAAGAAAAACUCCUGUGAAAACAUGGCACUGCUACAUAAAAGGAAUUUAUAUCACUUUCCAAGUAUCAAAACGGAGGUAGACUGGGUUUCUAAUUUGUUCUGUUGCUGCUGUAAACAAUGAAACAAUCGCAACUGAUAAAGGCUGGUGUUAAAGAUGACCUUAUCACGUGUCUGGACUGUCGUGUCUACAAACUGGCUACGUGAACAAAUAAGUACAAAUGUCCAGAAACAAGCAUCACGGAAACUUAGAAUUCUAGAUACAUCAUUUGUAAUGGAUAGGACUGCUGAUACUUACAAUGAGGGUUACAAAUUAGGCCAUAUCCCGCAGUCAGUUCACUUCAACAUAUUCAAAUGUACACCAGAGAAACCAGGUAUUAAAGUUGGUUUUCCAGAUGAAAAUUGUUUCACUGAUUAUGUUCAGUCCCUUGGAGUUUGGCCGGAAACGCAUGUAGUUGCAUAUGAUAGAUAUGGUCCACUAUCAGCAUACAGAACAUGGUGGCAAUUCAGGGCAUUUGGCCAUAGAAAUAUAUCUGUGUUAGAUGGAGGACUGAAGAAAUGGUUGGACGAUGGUUUUGAAAUAACAACGGAGGAACCAGAAUUUGAGCGUUCCGACUUUGUGGCAAAACUUGACAAAAAUUUGUUUAGAAGUUAUGAAGCUGUAUUGGAGAAUUUGAAGUCAAAGAAAGAACAACUUGUGGAUGCUAGAGCUGUUGAUCACCCUUCUGUAUUAGAUGAAGAGAAUGGUGGUUUUAUAGUUGGUUCAAAGCAUGUAGAUUUCAAAGAACUGUUUACAGAAGAUGGAACAAUCAAGCCUGAUUCUGAACUGAAAGCAUUAUUUGAUGGUUCUGGAGUAGAUCUCGGCCAGCCAAUGGUAGCAACUUGCCUGCGAGGUUUUACAGCAUGUGGGAUUGCAGCAGCUGCUCAAAUUCUUGGCAAAGAAAAUGUGUCCAGUUUAUGCAGGAUCAUGGGAAGAAUUUAAUUUGCAAGGUCCGGAGGAAUAUAAAGGAAAAGUACAACAGAAAACAUGAUAACAAAAGUUUACAUAGCUAAAUAAUGUCUGUAUAUAGCACAAUCAAAACAAAUUAAUUAUAACCAAAGAUGUGCCUCGUUUAUUAUAUGGAAUAUGUGAAAAACAUCCUGUAUUUGGGACAGAAAAUUCGUAGGUAUCUAUUGAAAUAAAAUAUGCAUGUAACAGAGCACUUUGCAUUAUAAUGAAGCACUUUGCAUUACAGUAUAAUGGAUAACUUUGCCAAUCUUAUCAAUAACAGAUAUAUAGUAGCUAUAACCUGCAGCUAUUCUAUGUAUCUGAAAGUGCCUGCUUGUUGUGCAUAAAUUUAAAACGUAUUAUAUACCUUAUUCUUGAUAUUCCGUGGUUUCUCGUUCAUUCCGUGGCUCUCAAAAACACACUCGUGCCGCUGUCGCGUGUGUCCGAAGUCCAUGCAAGUUUCUCGGAAAAGUAAACAAGGUUGUGAGCAUCUGAAAAUGCGCAAAAAACUGGUAUGUAUAGCUUAUUUCACUUAAAUAUAUGUAGUAAUGCACCUAUACAAACAUGCAUCUUCCCGAACAAAACUCGUAACUUUGCGAUAUUUGUCAAAAUUUCAUGCAGCCGAGUCCAGCAGCAGCCAUGAUGCAGGUCACGUGACUUUAUUUUUACCCAGAGUUGUCUACCUGCAGCUACAGUUAGGUUACAUUAGGUCUUCGUACAAUUAAAUUCCAAUUAGCAAUGAUUUGUUGCAUGUGUGCUGCAACUGUCUAAAAGUGAUUGCAUGUGAUGUUUAUGAUAAAUGAAUAAAAAAAUAUUAUUAUUAGAGUUUCUUAAUUUUUGCCCUUUUCAUUUGUCCAUGCUUAAAUCUUUAUAGUAUCCCCAUGACUUACGUUUUCGAUGGACAUACGUUUUCGACGAUGUCUGUAUUUCCUGUUAAUUUGCAUAUCCCGCACAUGUCGGUGCUAAAGAAAAAGAAGGUGGCAUAUGAAAACUUUUAUUAAAAUACAAACAUGCAAACCGAUUGUGACAAAAUUGUAGUGACACAUUAAGCAGUCCCCUAACUAAGUACUGAGCAGUGUAGUUUGUCAAGGUACCCUUCACCAUAGCGACCAUCAGUCAGCCAGUCUGAGCCACGGAUUAAACGAGAAACUGCCAGCUGAUCCAGACCAAUGUAGGUCAACAUACAUGAAGUGAGAUUUUUCAUUGCCUGUCAUAUUUUGUUGAUUUAUUGUCUUGGCAUGUUUAUAUUGAAAGGUUGCAGCUACUUUCGGUUAAAAAACAACAUCUGAAUACCUAACAUUAAACGCGCAUGUGAAGCUUUGCCGAUUAAGAGCCACGGAAUUACAAUAACACAGCAUACAUUGUAUAUGACAAAACACAUGUGGGAAAUCAUACAUAACUCUGUGUUAAAGGCUAUUUCAGAAUAUGAACAAAGUUCCACAUGAUCAGUUUGGCCAAGGAGCACAAAAUUUCCCUUUUUUUCAAACAAUUCCUUAUUUUUAAGAUUGGUGUGUCAGUUUAAGUUUAGAUUUGAUUUUGUUGUUUAAAAUAUCAAGGGUGUUUUUUUGUCCAUCAUGUUUAAAUUUAAUGGGAGAUUUUGUCCAAUGUUAGUAUAUUUCAGAUAUUAAAGAUGUAUAAUAGUUAUAUAUACAUUGUAGAUGUAUAACAUUAUACAUUGUAGAUGUUUAACAUUAUGCAACAGUUUAAUAUAAUAUUAUCAAUGACUUUGUCUACUAUGUUUAAAUGCAUUAAGGUUAACUGUAUUUUUUGUUCCAUGACAGUGGUCUCUGCUAGUAUGUGUCUGCCAUUGGCCUGUAGGUUGCAAAUUUUAAUGGGUGAGAUAUAUGCCAAGUGUUGUGAGAUACAAGUGAUGCAUAAAUUUGCAGGAUUUAUUUUAUGUUUUUCGGUGGUUUAGUGAAAAGUAACGGUAGAUCAUGUUUGUAGCUUUCACUGUUAUAGACCGUGAGAUUUUCAAUUUAUGAUAUCCACCAUUAUAGAACUAAACUGAAUGCCAAAAAAUAAGAAUUAUAAAUGAUAGGAAAUUCUUUCCAAAAUAUACAUUAAUAUGAAAGGUAUAGAAGUUUAUAAUGUACUGCAAAAACAUAAAGAGUUACACUCUACAGAUAUUGAGAUGUAAAAGAAAUCAAAACAGCUCAAAGAUUAAAAUUUGUAGAAUUUGGUAAAAACCAUUGAAAAGAUAUGAACACAAAGGAAAAGCUUAUUUCACAUGUAAGACUAAAAUAGCUUUCACUUGUGAACAUUAGAUUUUCAAUUUUCACUUACUGAUUGCGCAGCUCAUGAAAAUAUUGCAUCUGAUGUUCACUCAAAGAUAUUUCGAUCUUAAACUGAAGCAAAAGAUAUCUUCUACUUGAGACCUGUUUAUAAGUAUGACUACUGAAUUUUUGUUGAGCCCGCUUGCGGAAGCGAAGACAUAGUCGUCCAAAUGGCUGUUUGGUGUAUGUUCGUGCGUCAGUGCAUCCGUCCGGAUUUGUUUGUCAGGACCAUAACUUUGACAUGCAUAAAGCAAUCUUGUUUAUAUUUGGCGUGAAUGUUAACCUCAUUGAGACGAAGUGUCAGGCGCAAACCCGAGGUUUCUAUCUCAAAAGUCAAGGUCACAGUUGGAGGUCAAAGGUCAUGUCAAAUCUUGUCAAGCCUAUAACUUUGACAUGCAUUGAGGAAUCUUGUUUAUAUUAAUUUUGGCAUGAAUGUUACUCAGUGAGACG
rnacentral:misc_RNA from 1 species